rnacentral:lncRNA from 1 species
GGUUCAGUCCACAAGGCUCAAAUCUUGAAGGCAUGAGCAAAAUGUCUACACCAGCAGUUAUCCUAUGAGCUGUUUGUACAGAAAAACCAACCCAUCCCCUGACCUUGUCUCGGUGUUGAUGUUCAAACUCUCUCAGCAUCUGUUCCAGGUCAGGUCUUCCGGUGCCUAACAUGACUAGUUGCACAUCUUGAUUAAUCAUCCAUGGAAUCGCUUCUGCUAUAAGAUCAACACCUUUCUGGUGAUCAAGUCUCCCAAUGAAACCAAUUAAAGGGACAUCCUCACGGAUUGGCAAACCCAGCUCCUUCUGUAAGGCAGCCUUACACUGGGGCUUGCCAGUCUUAAGUGUCUCUAGGGAGUAGUUUGUAUAACCAUCUGAUCUCAAGAAAAUGUCAAACUGUGGGUUCCAGUCUGUAUUAUCAAUUCCAUUAACAAUGCCCCUGAGUUUCCAGUCAUUUUCAUUUAUGAUCCCAUGCAAUCCCCAACCACCGUCAACUGUUUUAACCUCCCAGGCAUAUCCAUGACUUACAGUAACCACACGGUCAGCUGUCUUCAAACCAGCUGCAAAUAUAUUGAAGUGCUCCCCUCCAAUAGGGUCAUACAAUUUGAAAAGAUCCAAGUAGUGUUGUGGAAGAUCAACGAAGGAGAAAUCACUUACCGGCCCACGACCCUGGGUCAAAUACAAUAAUGUAGUUCAUAUAUCUUCAUCAUUAUGAUUAUGCCAAGAAUUAUUUUUACCAGGAUAUCAUUCAAAAUUUCUAAACAGUUUAUUGUGUUCUGGACUUCGCUUGAAAACCAAAAACGUCCAAUAGUGGUUGGGCUCAUUUUUGCAAGUUUUUCAUGCGGUAUAGACUGGAAACUUAAGUUCCUAAACUUAAAUUGGCCUCUAAAUCUAGACAAGUUGGUCAGUUAAGUCCAAUCUCGUGAGCACAUUUUAACACAUUCAUGCUAAGAACUCUGCAGUCUCAUAUAUAAACAUGAAAAAUAGUUCAACCAACUGAUAAUGAAACCACUUGAGCUUACUUUCUAACGAUGCAGAUGCUCAAGUUUCCGACACAACAAUAUUAUCUAACAUCAAGAUUUAGUCAGAUGAGUUUUGUGC